rnacentral:misc_RNA from 1 species
AAACCAAUCCAGCUUGCUGGGUCUUGGGCUUUCGCCUCUGGGCGGGCCUCAAAAUCAGUGGCGGUGCUGUCUAGCUCUAAGCGUAGUAAUACUUCUCGCUAUGGACACUAGGCGGUGACUUGCCAAUAACCCCUUAUUUUUCAAA